UACGUAGGUGGCAAGCGUUGUCCGGAUUUAUUGGGUUUAAAGGGUGCGUAGGCGGCUUUGUAAGUCAGUGGUGAAAUAUGGCAGCUUAACUGUCAGGGUGCCAUUGAUACUGCGGAGCUUGAGUACAGAUGAGGUAGGCGGAAUUGACGGUGUAGCGGUGAAAUGCUUAGAUAUCGUCAAGAACACCUAUAGCGAAGGCAGCUUACUAGGCUGUAACUGACGCUGAGGCACGAAAGUGUGGGGAGCAAACAGG
rnacentral:rRNA from 1 species